rnacentral:rRNA from 1 species
GACGGAGGAUGCAAGUGUUAUCCGGAAUCACUGGGCGUAAAGGGUGCGUGGGCGGGUUUUUAAGUCAGGGGUGAAAUCCUGGAGCUCAACUCCAGAACUGCCUUUGAUACUGAAGAUCUUGAGUCCGGGAGAGGUGAGUGGAACUGCGAGUGUAGAGGUGAAAUUCGUAGAUAUUCGCAAGAACACCAGUGGCGAAGGCGGCUCACUGGCCCGGUACUGACGCUGAGGCACGAAAGCGUGGGGAGCGAACAGG